rnacentral:rRNA from 1 species
GUAGGGAAUCUUCCGCAAUGGGCGAAAGCCUGACGGAGCAACGCCGCGUGAGUGAUGAAGGUUUUCGGAUCGUAAAGCUCUGUUGCCAAGGAAGAACGUCUUCUAGAGUAACUGCUAGGAGAGUGACGGUACUUGAGAAGAAAGCCCCGGCUAACUACGUGCCAGCAGCCGCGGUAAUACGUAGGGGGCAAGCGUUGUCCGGAAUUAUUGGGCGUAAAGCGCGCGCAGGCGGUUCUUUAAGUCUGGUGUUUAAACCCGAGGCUCAACUUCGGGUCGCACUGGAAACUGGGGAACUUGAGUGCAGAAGAGGAGAGUGGAAUUCCACGUGUAGCGGUGAAAUGCGUAGAUAUGUGGAGGAACACCAGUGGCGAAGGCGACUCUCUGGGCUGUAACUGACGCUGAGGCGCGAAAGCGUGGGGAGCAAACAGGAUUAGAUACCCUAGUAGUCC